UACGAAGGGGGCUAGCGUUGCUCGGAAUCACUGGGCGUAAAGCGCACGUAGGCGGAUUGUUAAGUCAGGGGUGAAAUCCUGGAGCUCAACUCCAGAACUGCCUUUGAUACUGGCGAUCUCGAGUCCGGGAGAGGUGAGUGGAACUGCGAGUGUAGAGGUGAAAUUGUAGAUAUUCGCAAGAACACCAGUGGCGAAGGCGGACUCACUGGUCCGGUACUGGACGCUGAGGUGCGA
rnacentral:rRNA from 1 species